GGGCGAUUAGUUCAGGGGUAGAACAAUGGAUUCUUAAUCCAUGUGUCGGGGGUUCGAUUCCCCCAUCGCCUACCA
rnacentral:tRNA from 2 species